AUUGCAACAUGAAUACAUAGUGUUGCAAGGCGAACGAGGGGAAGUGAAACAUCUCAGUACCCUUAGGAAAAGAAAUCAAUUGAGAUUCCCUCAGUAGCGGCGAGCGAACGGGGAUCAGCCCAUUAAGUUAUGUGUGUUUUAGUGGAACGCUCUGGGAAGUGCGAACGUAGAGGGUGAUAUUCCCGUACACGAAAGGGCACACAUAAUGAUGACGAGUAGGGCGAGGCACGUGAAACCUUGUCUGAAUAUGGGGGGACCAUCCUCCAAGGCUAAAUACUCCUGACUGACCGAUAGUGAACCAGUACCGUGAGGGAAAGGCGAAAAGAACCCCUGUGAGGGGAGUGAAAUAGAUCCUGAAACCGCAUGCAUACAAGCAGUGGGAGCACCUUCGUGGUGUGACUGCGUACCUUUUGUAUAAUGGGU
rnacentral:rRNA from 1 species